AAUAUUAAGCCGUACCCAUACUUUUCAAACACCCUGUAUAGUGUAAUAGAGCACUCGUGUGGCACUGGACUAGACAACAGUCCCAUAAGCAGGGACUAGAGCACAAAUAAUUGUUUACCCUACUGCACCUAUCCGGUAACUGGUUGUCCCUUAUCUUAGUUGAAGUUGAUAACGGAAUUCGGGGUUUUCCGGCGUUGCCGGUUUUCUCGAGUUGCAGGGUUGCCAUUUACUACUGGAGGGUCUUAUAAGUAAUAAUAAAAUUACUGGAUGAAUAUAAAGACAGACAGCAUUUAGUAGUAGGGAAAUAUAUUUUUAGUGUAUUCUGUGUUGCGCUCAUGCAGGCGCACGGAGAGUGGCAUAGACUGUUCUUAAACAUUUCAAAUACUGAACUGACUUUUUAAUAUAAUCAGCUAACAACGUUACUAUCAACGUACUUAGCUUAGUCCUUAAAAUGUAAAACAAAAUCAUAACCGAGGAAUAAAAUCAUUAUCAUAAUUGUCGUUCAGUAUUACACAAUACAAGAAUGACGAAGUUCGAUCCUUAGUUAUUGCUGUUAUAUUAUUUUAUUGCUUCCCGGUGGUCUGUGAUAACCCGUUAUCGUUUACACACACAUCAGAUUAACUGUUCAAUAAAAUCUGAGUCAAAUAUUACACGAUAUCGUGAUGUCAUUUCAAGGUUGGCUAUACAUUCGACCACAGUCCACAAUGCCCGCGCUAAGUCAAGGCUCCGUGUUCGAGUUUGUAAUCUUUGUUAUUCUAAUUAUUGGACUGUUCAUUGUUCAUUACGAAGAACCAUGAUAUUUUUGUAAUAUUCCGAUAAUUAUGGAAUGGGUUACCGUGAGUAUUCAUUAUGGCUUACACACACUUUCACCAUGCAACGCCGAGUCAUUUCUCACAAAUAUGGCCACUGGUACAAAUCAAGCAACCUCUGGCAGAUGACAAACCUUCUGCAUCCAAGAAGAAUUCAGCAAACGCAUAAAUGACUGACUACUCACUUGUAUACAUAGUUAUGAAAGAGGAGGCAUAAUGAGCAGACAGUUCAAUGUAAUACCAUAAUAAAUUAUAUUAUUUUCUAGUGGAAGUGUA